GGCGGAACCAAAAACACACAGUUGAGGCAUUAAAGACGCCAAACCUGAUCUCAGACAUGUGUCUGGGUCUUUACCUGGUUGCGGACAUCAGGAACUGUGAGCCACAGCGGGAGGCUUAUGGGCAGCAGGAAGAGCAUCUUCAGCGCCUCCUGACCCCUCCUCACCUGCAGGCAUGUCCUCCUAAGGAAAAUUCAUUUGGAACAUUGAUCAAGCUGGGAAAAAUUUAAAGCAGCAUAGAACAAAGAAGACCAAAAAGUCUUUUGAAGCUUUCUGUGAUGAGCAUGGCUGAACGAGAGACAACAUGAUGCGAGAAUGAACAUUCAAUUUUCUUUUCAGGACCAUGUAUAGCAUCUGUUUUGCAUUUUCACCAUUACAUAUUGUGAUGUGAUACUUAAAUUCAUGAUUUUUAAGAAAUGUUUACUUAAUAUUAAACAUAA